GACGAACGCUGGCGGCGUGCCUAAUACAUGCAAGUCGAGCGCAGGAAACUGACGGAACUCUUCGGAGGGAAGGCAGCGGAAUGAGCGGCGGACGGGUGAGUAACACGUAAGGAACCUGCCUCAAGGAUUGGGAUAACUCCGAGAAAUCGGAGCUAAUACCGGAUAGUUCAACGGACCGCAUGGUCCGCUGAUGAAAGGCGCUCCGGCGUCACCUUGAGAUGGCCUUGCGGUGCAUUAGCUAGUUGGUGGGGUAACGGCCCACCAAGGCGACGAUGCAUAGCCGACCUGAGAGGGUGAUCGGCCACACUGGGACUGAGACACGGCCCAGACUCCUACGGGAGGCAGCAGUAGGGAAUCUUCCACAAUGGACGAAAGUCUGAUGGAGCAACGCCGCGUGAGUGAUGAAGGUUUUCGGAUCGUAAAACUCUGUUGUAAGGGAAGAACACGUACGAGAGGAAAUGCUCGUACCUUGACGGUACCUUACGAGAAAGCCACGGCUAACUACGUGCCAGCAGCCGCCGUAA
rnacentral:rRNA from 1 species